UACGAAGGGGGCUAGCGUUGUUCGGAAUUACUGGGCGUAAAGGGCGCGUAGGCGGCCAACUAAGUCAGACGUGAAAUCCCUCAGCUUAACUGGGGAACUGCGUCUGAUACUGGAUGGCUUGGAUUCGGGAGAGGAAUGCGGAAUUCCAGGUGUAGCGGUGAAAUGCGUAGAUAUCUGGAGGAACACCGGUGGCGAAGGCGGCAUUCUGGACCGACAUUGACGCUGAGGAGCGAAAGCCAGGGGAGCAAACGGG
rnacentral:rRNA from 1 species